GACGAACGCUGGCGGCGUGCUUAACACAUGCAAGUCGAACGGAAAGGCCCUGCUUUUGUGGGGUGCUCGAGUGGCGAACGGGUGAGUAACACGUGAGUAACCUGCCCUUGACUUUGGGAUAACUUCAGGAAACUGGGGCUAAUACCGGAUAGGAGCUCCUGCUGCAUGGUGGGGGUUGGAAAGUUUCGGCGGUUGGGGAUGGACUCGCGGCUUAUCAGCUUGUUGGUGGGGUAGUGGCUUACCAAGGCUUUGACGGGAAGCCGGCCUGAGAGGGUGAUCGGCCACAUUGGGACUGAGAUACGGCCCAGACUCCUACGGGAGGCAGCAGUGGGGAAUAUUGCACAAUGGGCGGAAGCCUGAUGCAGCAACGCCGCGUGCGGGAUGACGGCCUUCGGGUUGUAAACCGCUUUCGCCUGUGACGAAGCGUGAGUGACGGUAAUGGGUAAAGAAGCACCGGCUAACUACGUG
rnacentral:rRNA from 1 species